CAGUAGCCACGGGAAUACGGAGGGGGCUAGCGUUGUUCGGAUUCACUGGGCGUAAAGCGUGCGUAGGCGGCUUCUUAAGUCGGAUGUGAAAUCCCUGAGCUUAACUUAGGAAUUGCAUUCGAUACUGGGAAGCUAGAGUAUGGGAGAGGAUGGUAGAAUUCCAGGUGUAGCGGUGAAAUGCGUAGAGAUCUGGAGGAAUACCGAUGGCGAAGGCAGCCAUCUGGCCUAAUACUGACGCUGAGGUACGAAAGCAUGGGGAGCAAACAGGAUUAGAUACCCCAGUAGUCCCUGUCUCUUAUAC
rnacentral:rRNA from 1 species